rnacentral:piRNA from 1 species
UUUGAAGCUUCAGUGUUGGAGGUCCUUCA